GCCGGGUGUGGUGGCGGGCACCUGUAAUCCCAGCUACUCGGGAGGCUGAGGCAGGAGAAUCGCUCGAGCCCAGGAGGUGGAGGUUGCGGUGAGCUGAGUUCGUGUCAUUGCACUCCAGCCUGGGCGACAGAGCGAAACUCCGUCUCAA
ensembl:misc_RNA Metazoa_SRP Metazoan signal recognition particle RNA